rnacentral:lncRNA from 1 species
AGAGAAUGAGGUUCCCUUAUUAUGUCAACAGGUUGGUGCUCCAUUGAUAGAGAAUGAGGUUCACUUAUUAUGUCAACAGGUUGGUGCUCCAUUGAUAGAGAAUGAGGUUCCCUUAUUUUGUCAACAGAUUGGUGCUCCAUUGAUAGAGAAUGAGGUUCCCUUAUCAUGUCAACAGGUUGGUGCUCCAUUGAUAGAGAAUGAGGUUCCCUUAUUAUGUCAACAGGUU